rnacentral:lncRNA from 1 species
AGACCCAAUAGGAUUUGCUGAUGAAUUCAUGUAGUGUGUGUCAAAAGGAAGAAAUCAAGGAUGACUCCUAAGGUUGGAGUCAGAGCCACUGGAAAAAAGGAGUAGCCAUUUACUGAACACAGGAGGAACACAUUUUCAGGGCAUGGUAGCAAAUGAGAAAUUCAGUUUUGGAGGUGUUGAAAUUGAGGUGGCUAUUAGACAUUCAAGUGGGGAUGAAUUUAGACAGUUGCAUGUAUGAGUCUGGAAUUUAAGGGGGAGGUUGCAUCUAAGGAAAUUAAUUUGGAAGAUGUCAACAUAAGGCAUUAUUUGUCAUGAGUAUAGAUAUAAGAGAGGAACGUCAGCACAUAAAAUAAAAGUGAGAUGAAUGAAUAAGUGAAUUAAUGAAUUAUACUAAUUGAGAUAUCAACUUGCAGAGUAAACUGAGUAAGUCUCACAGUGAUAUCAUUCAAAGGAUUUCAUUCUUCACCUUUUUUCUCCUAUGGAAAAUUUGUUGGCAACUCUCAUUUCCGAGAAUGUACCACUAAUGAAGUUAUUUAUUGAGCUAAUAGAGACAUGAUAAAUAUAAAUAUCUGUUUGAAUACAUCAACUUACUGGUGUCUUCUUAUUCUGUACCUAUGGAUCAUAUACUUUCAAAAAGAAACAAAUCAAUACAUCAAUAUGAUGAGGCUGUCGAGUUUCAGCUAAAAGAGGUGUUUGGGUACAUUAAAAAUUCCUCACAUGAUAGUUUACAGUUUAUAGUGUGUUUCAUCAUCUAUUAUCUCUCUCUGACUUUGAGCCUCAUGACAUCCACACACUAGGCAUGUAGGCAUUAUCAUAUCCUACUUAAAUAUGAAGAAACUAAGGCUUAGCAGCUGAUGAAUGAGUCUUCCUGGCUUGAAUCCUGAUUAUGCAAUGAGUGCCCAUCCCACUUCUGCCUGUCACCUUCCUAAAGAUCCCAAGGUCUGCCCCAUCCUUAGCUGCAGCCCCAUAAAACUUUACAUGAUGGCAGGCAGCAUGAUUCCUUUUCCAUUUCCUUGAGAAGACUGAGAAAAUAACUGGUCUUUACUGGAUACCAUUUAGCAGUUGAACUGCUCUGCAUAUGUCACAAAACUGGGUUUAAUCACCUGAAACACCUUCAGGCAUGGAGCCCUGGGAUUUCCAAAGCAGCACUGGGGAGGAGAAUAAUGACCCUGCAGUGGGUCUGAACUUGCCUACCACUCAACCACCUCACCCCUGUCAGAUCUUGCCUCCUUUGCGCUUAGAUUUGAACCCUCAUAUGCCAAAACAUGCAUUUGUUCCCCACUCAGAUCUUACAUCUCUCCAACAUUAGCCUUCCGUCUUGGACACUUUCCCUUCAUGAAAUAAGUUUCUUUUUUUUAAUUAAAAGAAAAAACUUUAAAUAAUGAUUUUUAUUUUUUCCCAUUACAGCUGGUUUACAGUGUUCUAUCAAUUUUCUACUGUACAGCAUGUUGACCCAGUUACAUAUACAAGUAUACAUUCUUUUUUCUCACAUUAUCAUGCUCCAUCAUAAGUGACCAGACAUAGUUCCCAGUGCUACACAGCAGGAUCUCAUUGCUAAUCCAUUCCCAAGGUAAUAGUCUUGGGGUUAAUAGAUACAGACUAUUACCUAUGAACUAAGUUUCUAAAUCCUACCCACACACUCCCCUGCAUCCAGAAACCCAUUAACUAUUUUAAUUUUAAUAACCUCUCCUCAACAACAACGGUGCAAAAUAGGAACAAAUGCCAUUGAUUUUAUACUUACUACCCGCUUAGCCUUUACCUAUGUUAUCUAAACUGUACAUCAAUACUAACCAGAAAAACAUGAUUUUACAACUGAGGAAACAAACUCAGAACUCCUAUGGUCAUGUAUCUGCUAGUAAUUGGAAAAAUUAACAUGUGAAUACAAGUCUUCAUGAGUCCAAAAUCCAAGCUCUUUCCUUAACUCUGCUCUCCUGUUUCCCCUUGUCAUCACCCUAUUUCACUCUCUGUUAAGUUAACAUCAACACAAGGCAAAUUAUAGUCUAUUUUCUCCUACUGGAUGAGGUUAAUUGCUUCUUGUUCCUGUCUUAAAAGAUCCAACAAAAUUUCCCAUAGUUUUCUGCCUUCCUUAUUUCCAUGUCCCCACCACCACAACCCUGGGGAUUGUCAAAACCUUGUUAGAAUUAGUGAAGUCCAGGAAUGAACCAGAUAUCUUUACAACAGCCAGAAUGAAAGGAACAUCUAUGUGUCUAAAAGACAGAAAAUUUAAUUUUGUUAUCAGACUCUCAUCUGCUUCUCAAACAGCUCCCAUAAAUCUGUACCAAAUCAAAAGAAAUGAUAUAUAAUAGAAGCUCUUUCAGUUAACACAUCCAUCCCAUUGUUUGCUUCAAACCAGGGUUUCCCUGUGGCACAUGGCUGGAGAGGAGAGAAGAGGGUCAGUGGGGUUUCUACCCUGAGGAUCAGUCUUCACAGGUGUGCCUGCUUUUACUCUCCACACAGACACCAGACAUUCCAACGCACUUAUGAAGAAACAGGGUUUGUCACACAGUCUCAGGCUACCCCUUACAUGGGCAUCAUGGAAAGGAGUUUAAGUCAGGAGCUGACAUUCUCAUGCCUCUUGCCCAUAAUGGAUUUUUAUCACAUCGUAAAGGAGCUCCCUCAACCAGUUGGAAAUCAUUGCCUUACUGAAUCAAUUACGAUUGGAGGGCACUCUGGAAUGUUCUGUUGAUUGUGAUGUUAGUAAAUACAAAGAUACACAAUGUGCAGCUUAAUAACCAUUCUAUUAACGUCUAGUUUAAAGUUUAUUUCCAAUAUCAUCAUUAUGAAGGAGAAAAUGACCCACAGGACACAGCACUGGGAAAAGUGUGCAUGCAUCUGAAAGCUCUUUCCUCUCCCCAGCAACAUUCCUCACAAAAUGUGCACCAGCCUGAGUUUGCAUAGCCAGGCCCACUGCAUAAUCAAAGUGAAAGUUUCAAAAGAGAUAAAAUUGACAUGCAAAGCAUAAGAGUGGGGCAAAGUCACAUUGUCAUUUCUAUUACCGUCGCAGUGAUACAGCAAACAUAGCAUUCACCACGAAUUGCAUUAAGACUACUGAAGCAGAGAUGUUGGAAGUGCUAGAGUAACACUGUGUCAGGAAUUUCUCACACGGUUAUAUUUGAAUGGUGUGUCAUUUCUUUACUCAUUUUCCAGACUACCAUGGGUUGUGUUUUACAUGGUUAUAGGUAAGGUAUUUAGGCACUGGUUUUUAUCUUCCCCUCUCUGACUGGGCUACACUAACUGGGCCUGUUUAAAAUUUCCUUGGCUGCAAUUCCCUCUUUUGUUUGCCUCUGCAAUAUUCCAAAUGUUAAAAUCUGGGAGGGAGAAGGAAUGGCAGGAAUAUCAAAUCAUGAAGUCUUUACAAGAACUCAGAUUUUUAAACUUCUGGGACAGUAGUUUGAUGACAGGGAAUCUGGAGAAUUAUAGGACAAUAGUCAAGGUAUUUAGACCUCCAGUUUCUGAAGAGCUUGACACCAGCCUCGAAAUCUCUACAAAGUAUACUGUCAUGAGCUCACAUUAUCUAACCUUUCAGCUACACCCUUUUCACCUGAACCCAGAGAGUAGUUUCAGGUAAAAAAGUGUUUGGUGAGAUGAGCUUGUUAUUUAUAGAGAACUUGGAACUUGAGUCUGAUCAAGUGAUAACUACCCAGCAGCACUUUUUUGAGAUGCAAAUUGUAGAUAAUUAAUGUCUGUAAAGCACUACAGAAUAUAAAUUGGUAAAUAUAAAUUGGAAUCUGAUAGAUGUUCUCUUUAUUCAUUCAUUGAUUCGUUCAUUCAAGUAAGGAAAAUUUUUUUUUGUCUUUUUGGGGAUGCACCCACAGCAUAUGGAGGUUCCUGGGCUAGGGUCAAAUUGGAGCUGCAGCUGUCAGCCUACGCCACAGCCACAGCAAUGUCAAAUCUGAGCCACAUCUGCGACCUACAGCAACAAUGGGUCCAUAACCCACUGAGCAAGGGCAGGGACCAAACCCGCAACCUCGUGGUUCCUAGUCGGAUUCGUUAACCACUGUACCACGACGGGAACUCCUCCAACUGUUUUAAAUUAAA